GACGAACGCUGGCGGCGUGCUUAACACAUGCAAGUCGAACGGUAAGGCCCUUCGGGGUACACGAGUGGCGAACGGGCGAGUAACACGUGGGUGAUCUGCCCUGCACUUCGGGAUAAGCCUGGGAAACUGGGUCUAAUACCGGAUAGGACUCCUGGCUUCAUGGUUGGGGGUGGAAAGCUUUUGUGGUGUGGGAUGGGCCCGCGGCCUAUCAGCUUGUUGGUGGGGUAAUGGCCUACCAAGGCGACGACGGGUAGCCGGCCUGAGAGGGUGACCGGUCACACUGGGACUGAGAUACGGCCCAGACUCCUACGGGAGGCAGCAGUGGGGAAUAUUGCACAAUGGGCGCAAGCCUGAUGCAGCGACGCCGCGUGAGGGAUGACGGCCUUCGGGUUGUAAACCUCUUUCAGCUAUGACGAAGCGCAAGUGACGGUAGUAGCAGAAGAAGGACCGGCCAACUACGUGCCAGCAGCCGCCGUAA
rnacentral:rRNA from 1 species